AAAACAUUACAUCCUGCCUAUCAUCUGGUUGUUUAAUUCUCAACAAUAGCAAUUAGACUGAUUAAUGUUUUUUUUUUUCUAAUGGUAAAGUAAUUUCUCUGGUCUUCUUUCCAUCUUUGUUGAAUAUACUUCCAUCCUUUACCUGAUAUUCACAUAGGUUAUGUGAACAUAUCUUGCAUAUAUCUCACUACAGCACCGGUUAAAUAACUUCAUAACGUCUGUUAAAUUUCAC